AGAAGACUGAACAGAGUCUUGUCCCCUGAUUAGACUUCAUCUGGAAUAUUUGGUUCUGUUCUAGGUAUCAGAUACUUAGAAGGACAUUGACAAAAUGGAUUGGACUCAGAAGGCAACAAAGAUGGUAAAGGGCAGCAUAUUACUUGAGAGUCACUUGGAUAGAGGCCUGGUCUUGAAAUCAGGAAGACUUGAGUUCAGGUUUUACCUUUGAUGUGUGCUGGCCUUGUACUCAUGGGCAAGUCAUUUAACCUCUCAGGAAUGUUGGGGAUUCUCAAAGAAUACAUCAGUAGCAAAUUGCUGAUGUGCAUU
rnacentral:lncRNA from 1 species